GUCACCGUGAGGCGGGGUCGGGAGGAAGCCCGAGACGAAACCCUGCGCUGAGGAACGCGAACCGCAUACAAGGCAGUCCGGUCGGGGUGAGUCGGCCACGGACGGCGAAGUCCGCCACCGCCAAGACGGCCGGGGUGUAGAUGCGGCAGGCGCAGGGAGAGAGUGGCUCUU
rnacentral:ncRNA from 1 species